UGGGGAAUUUUGGACAAUGGGCGAAAGCCUGAUCCAGCAAUGCCGCGUGAGUGAAGAAGGCCUUCGGGUUGUAAAGCUCUUUUGUCAGGGAAGAAACGGUGAAGGCUAAUAUCCUUUGCUAAUGACGGUACCUGAAGAAUAAGCACCGGCUAACUACGUGCCAGCAGCCGCGGUAAUACGUAGGGUGCAAGCGUUAAUCGGAAUUACUGGGCGUAAAGCGUGCGCAGGCGGUUAUAUAAGACUGAUGUGAAAUCCCCGGGCUCAACCUGGGACCUGCAUUUGUGACUGUAUAGCUAGAGGACGGUAGAGGGGGGUGGAAUUCCGCGGGUAGCAGUGAAAUGGGUAGAUAUGCGGAGGAAAACCGAUGGCGAAGGCAAUCCCCUGGACCUGUACUGAAGCUCAUGCACGAAAGCGUGGGGAGCAAACA
rnacentral:rRNA from 1 species